rnacentral:tRNA from 2 species
GCCCGGGUGGCGGAACUGGUAGACGCAGUGGGCUUAAAACCCGCGGCCGCUUCUGCGGCGUGUGAGUUCGAUUCUCACCCCGGGCA